GGAGGCGUAUGGGUACCUGGUGGUCCCCCGGUCUUCAAAACCGGUGAGGCCGGGUAUCUCGGCCUGGCGGGUUCGAUUCCCGUCCGCCUCCGCCA
rnacentral:tRNA from 1 species